GACGAACGCUGGCGGCGUGCUUAACACAUACAAGUCGAACGAUGAAGCCUAGCUUGCUGGGUGGAUUAGUGGCGAACGGGUGAGUAACACGUGAGUAACCUGCCCUGGACUCUGGGAUAAGCGUUGGAAACGACGUCUAAUACCGGAUAGGACCUUUCACCGCAUGGUGGGGGGUGGAAAGUUUUUUCGGUUUGGGAUGGACUCGCGGCCUAUCAGCUUGUUGGUGAGGUAAUGGCUCACCAAGGCGUCGACGGGUAGCCGGCCUGAGAGGGUGACCGGCCACACUGGGACUGAGACACGGCCCAGACUCCUACGGGAGGCAGCAGUGGGGAAUAUUGCACAAUGGGCGCAAGCCUGAUGCAGCAACGCCGCGUGCGGGAUGACGGCCUUCGGGUUGUAAACCGCUUUUAGUAAGGAAGAAGCCUCCGGGUGACGGUACUUGCAGAAAAAGGGCCGGCUAACUACGUGCCAGCCGCCGCCGUAAGAC
rnacentral:rRNA from 1 species